CCUACGGGGUGCAGCAGUCGAGAAUCAUUCACAAUGGGGGAAACCCUGAUGGUGCGACGCCGCGUGGGGGAAUGAAGGCCUUCGGAUUGUAAACCCCUGUCAUGUGGGAGCAAAUUAAAAAGAUAGUACCACAAGAGGAAGAGACGGCUAACGCUGUGCCAGCAGCCGCGGUAAUACAGAGGUCUCAAGCGUUGUUCGGAAUCACUGGGCGUAAAGCGUGCGUAGGCUGUUUCGUAAGUCGUGUGUGAAAGGCGCGGGCUCAACCCGCGGACGGCACAUGAUACUGGGAGACUGGAGUGAAGGAGGGGGAAGCGGAAUUCUAGGUGUAGCAGUGAAAUGCGUAGAUAUCGGGAGGAACACUCGUGGCGAAGGCGGGUUCCUGGACAUUAACUGACGCUGAGGCACGAAGGCCAGGGGAGCGAAAGGGAUUAGAUACCCUUGUAGUC
rnacentral:rRNA from 1 species